AGCUUGUUACAGGUGUUGCGAUGGCUGUCGUCAGCUCGUGUCGUGAGAUGUUCCGGUUAAGUCCGCUAACGAGCGCAACCCGCGUUUGUGUGUUACAAGUGUCACACAAUACCGCCGGUAUUAAGUCGGAGGAAGGUGCGGAUGACGUCAAGUCAGCAUGACCUUUAUAUCCAGGGCUACACACACGCUACAAUGGUCAGCACAAUAGGUUGCCAAGUCGUGAGACGGAGCCAAUCCUCCAAAGCUGGCCUCAGUUCAGAUUGUAGGCUGCAACCCGCCUGCAUGGAGUUGGAGUUGCUAGUAACCGCAGGUCAGCUAUACUGCGGUGAAUACGUUCCCGGGGAUU
rnacentral:rRNA from 1 species